GUCCAAACAUACUGUUGAAUCGAGUGGUCCUUGACUGAAGCCAAAAUCACGUUCAUCGUACAUGUAAUCAUUGAUUCUGACUAACUAAUAGAUCAGGUGUUAUUUAUGUGCAGUUUAAAAUUAAUUUGGUAGAAGUUCAUCAAUGAUAUACUGAAGAAGACGUAUGCCAACAGACGAUUUAUUGAAAGCAUAAUUGCUCAAAAGACAUGCAUUUUUCAUCACUGAUCAAAAGUCAGAAAUUGAGACUAUGGUUGUCGUUUGUUGCUGGUGUUCUAGCCAAUGCGCUGUUGGGACCAUCGGAAAUAUUCUAUAUUUACGCAAAUGAGCUUCAAGUCAUAUUUAACAUCAAUAAGGAACAAGUUGAAAUGUUCGCGUCCAUCCAGACUAUAGGAAACGGAAUUGGAUUCAUGUUAUGCACAUUUACAGAUUCAUUAAAUCCCAUGUGUUUCUUGGUGUUUGGUUUCGUGUUUACUCUGAUUGGGCCGACUGUAUUAUGGGUGGCGACAUUAGAUCAGCAUAUGACAAACAGUUACUUCAUUAUUUUUGGAUUUCUAUGUAACGGAUUAAGUGAUUCUAUUCAGAUUAUUAUAUCACAGAAGAUAGUUGCAAAGAAUUUUUCUUCAUCAAACAGAGGAAUAAUUAUGGCAGUUAUGGGGGAAAGUAUUAGUAUUGGAAUGCUCUUGUUUUCCGGUAUCUAUUACAGCAUUCCGUCAAAGAAACACCGAUUCCAACAGCUGAUGAUAUUUCUAUUCUUCUUUAGUGUGUUUGUAUAUAUAUUCUGUUUUUUGUUUCUUCGUGAAGUACAUUCUGAAACAGAAUAUACGAAUAUAUUGCCUGAAGAUGAUAAUCAUGAACACAGUUUAACGAGAUUAUAUAUGCAUUCCAAA